rnacentral:rRNA from 1 species
UACGUAGGUGGCAAGCGUUGUCCGGAAUUAUUGGGCGUAAAGAGCGCGCAGGCGGUCGGAUAAGUCGAAUGUGAAAGCCCCCGGCUCAACUGGGGAGGGUCAUUCGAUACUGUUCGACUCGAAGGCAGGAGAGGGAAGUGGAAUUCCCGGUGUAGUGGUGAAAUGCGUAGAUAUCGGGAGGAACACCAGUGGCGAAGGCGACUUCCUGGCCUGUUCUUGACGCUGAGGCGCGAAAGCUAGGGGAGCAAACGGG